rnacentral:rRNA from 1 species
AUUGAACGCUGGCGGCAGGCCUAACACAUGCAAGUCGAACGAGUGGCGGACGGGUGAGUAAUGUCUGGGAAACUGCCCGAUGGAGGGGGAUAACUACUGGAAACGGUAGCUAAUACCGCAUACCAUCGGAUGUGCCCAGAUGGGAUUAGCUAUUGGGUGGGGUAACGGCUCACCUAUGCGACGAUCCCUAUCUGGUCUGAGAGGAUGACCAGCCAAAAUGGAACUGAGACCCGGUCCAGACUCCUAAGGGAGGCAGCGGUUGGGAAUAUUGCACAAGUGGCGCAAGCCUGAUGCAGCCAUGCCGCGUGUAUGAAGAAGGCCUUCGGGUUGUAAAGUACUUUCAGCGAGGAGGCGUUACUCGCAGAAGAAGCACCGGCUAACUCCGUGCCAGCAGCCGCGGUAAUUC